GACAGAGGGGGCAAGCGUUGUCCGGAUUUACUGGGCGUACAGCGCGCGCAGGCGGGUGGCAAGGUGCUCUGUGACAUUCGCGAGCUCAACUCGCGACGGCCAGGGUAGACCGGUCGCCUGGAGGCAGGGAGAGGGUGGUGGAAUACCCGGUGGAGCGGUGAAAUGCGUAGAGAUCGGGUGGAACACCAGCGGCGAAGGCGGCCACCUGGCCCUGACCUGACGCUGAGGCGCGAGAGCGUGGGGAGCGAACCGG
rnacentral:rRNA from 1 species